UCGCAGAUGUGGCUUGGACACUGUGUUGAUAUGGCUAUAGUGCAGGCCAGCAGCUGCAGCUCCAGUUCAACCCCUAGCCUGAGAACGCCAUAUGCCACAGUUGUGGCCCUAAAAAGACCAAAAAAGAAAAAAAAAACUAAUAAAGUUAGUAGAGAGCCGGGCCUCAGGAACAGUGACCCUGUUAUGCUGACCCCUCUGAAAUCCUGCUGACCUGCCUCUUUCCCUUUCAGUUUUCCUUCCCUACCAAUUUAUUCUUGAGCAACAUGUGGCUCUUUCGGCCCCUUGUAGGCAGGUUGAUGGAGAGGAAUUUCGUAACCAAUGCGCUGGUCCGGACCACCACAGCACUCACCAUGUUUAACUCGGGAAUCAAGGUAACACCCCCCCCACCCCGGUUCCUCCCACACAUGUAUUCCUCGCUGCCCAGGCAUGUCUGCAUCCCUUGGCUAUAUCUCCUGGCUCCUCCCUCCUUCUGUGGUUAUUAUCUGAAUAGUAGAAAAGCCCGUGCAGAACUGUCCUGUGUCAGAUGAGUAAGCCUCAAGAGCCGGGGUUCUAGCUGACAUCUAUAAGCCCUCUGAAAUUGCUGGCCCAGUUUCAUAUAUGUUUGUUUUAGGGUUCUCCCUCAGGUUCGUUGGGUCUGUACCCCUUCAAAAAAAAAAAAACGCACACAUUAUACUGAUGUGAAGGGGAAUUAUUUGGGAGUCAAUUCUUGUGACCUAUUCUCAUUCAAUAUGUAAUAUGUUUACUUAGCACUUUGAUCAUGUACAUGAAAGACUCUCUUCUACCUUUUUUAUUCUUUUUUUUUUUUUUUUUUUUUGGUACAGGACCCAUAACACGUGGAAAUUCCCGAGCCAGGGACCGAAGCCAUGCCACAGCAGUGACAAUGCCGAGCCACCAGAAAAUUCCACCUUUUUUUGUUAUUCUUCCUCAUAUUUUGAAAGAUUUAUUCACCUACAAAUUUAAUGAUUAAUAUAUUCCCCCUAGUGUUACCCUGAGUAGAAUGAGAGAAAUGCACCUGCCAUUUUUAAAAUCGAUAACAUUUGUGAUGUAUACAAUACUUAAAACAUAUACAUUGUCCUUCCCCCAGAUACACUGAAUAUUGGGUGGCCCUAGCAAACAUUAAUCCCCUUUUUUUUUUUUUUGGCUUUUUAGGGCCAAGCCCACAACAUAUGAAGGUUUCCAAGCUAGGGGUCAAAUCAGAGCUACAACUACAGGCCUAUGCCACAGCCAGAGCAAUGCAGGAUCACAGCGUCAUCUGCGACCUACACCGCAGCUCAUGGCAAUGCCGGAUCCUUAAACCACCAAACAAGGCCAGGGGUCAAACCCAAAACCUCACAGUUACUAGCCGGAUUCAUUUCCACUGCACCACAACGGGAACUCCAGCAAACAUAAAUUCUAUAUGAGGUUUACUUUUAGAGAAAUAAGUUUCAGGUGAACCAAUACUUUGAUAAAUGUUUUUUCCAAGAACCACUUUUCAGUAAAUUGGUCUGCUUCCAGUUGGACUGGCCCACUAAGGGGCUACUCUUGUUU
rnacentral:lncRNA from 1 species